AGCGAACGUUAGCGGCGCGCCUAACACAUGCAAGUCGCACGAGAAAGGGAGCAAUCCCCGGUACAGUGGCGCACGGGUGAGUAACACGUAGAUGACCUUCCCUGGAGUGGUGGAUAACCUGCCGAAAGGCGGGCUAAUACAGCAUGGGACCACAUGGUUUUGACCGAGUGGUGAAAGCGGGCCUCUGUUCACAAGCUCGCGCUCUGGGAUGGGUCUGCGUCCCAUCAGCUAGUUGGUGAGGUAAUGGCUCACCAAGGCAUCGACGGGUAGCUGGUCUGAGAGGAUGACCAGCCACACUGGAACUGAGACACGGUCCAGACUCCUACGGGAGGCAGCAGUGGGGAAUCUUGCGCAAUGGGCGAAAGCCUGACGCAGCGACGCCGCGUGGGUGAUGAAGGCCUUCGAGUUGUAAAGCCCUGUGGGAGGAACGAACCGUACGGGGCGGAAGUACCCUCCGUGCCUGACGGUACCUCCUUAGUCAAGCAUCGGCU
rnacentral:rRNA from 1 species